GGGUAGCGGAGAAAUUCCAAUCGAACCUGGAGAUAGCUGGUUCUCUCCGAAAUAGCUUUAGGGCUAGCCUCAAGUGAUGAUUAUUGGAGGUAGAGCACUGUUUGGACGAGGGGCCCCUCUCGGGUUACCGAAUUCAGACAAACUCCGAAUGCCAAUUAAUUUAACUUGGGAGUCAGAACAUGGGUGAUAAGGUCCGUGUUCGAAAGGGAAACAGCCCAGACCACCAGCUAAGGUCCCAAAAUAUAUGUUAAGUGGAAAAGGAUGUGGCGUUGCCCAGACAACUAGGAUGUUGGCUUAGAAGCAGCCAUCAUUUAAAGAGUGCGUAAUAGCUCACUAGUCGAGUGACACUGCGCCGAAAAUGUACCGGGGCUAAACAUAUUACCGAAGCUGUGGAUUGUCCUUUGGACAAUGGUAGGAGAGCGUUCUAAGGGCGUUGAAGCAUGAUCGUAAGGACAUGUGGAGCGCUUAGAAGUGAGAAUGCCGGUGUGAGUAGCGAAAGACGGGUGAGAAUCCCGUCCACCGAUUGACUAAGGUUUCCAGAGGAAGGCUCGUCCGCUCUGGGUUAGUCGGGUCCUAAGCUGAGGCCGA
rnacentral:rRNA from 1 species